AAAUAGGUUGUCCUACUCGGAUAACUGUGGCAAUUCUAGAGCUAAUACAUGCGAAAAGACUCAGACCGUAAGGAAUGAGUGCAUUUAUUAGAAUAAAAACCAAUCGGGCGUAAAAAACCCGUCAUUUGGUGAAUCUGAAUAACUUUGCCGAUCGUACGGUCCUAGUACCGACGACGUAUCUUUCAAGUGUCUGCCUUAUCAACUUUCGAUGGUAGGUUAUACGCCUACCAUGGUAGUAACGGGUAACGGAGAAUAAGGGUUCGACUCCGGAGAGGGAGCCUGAGAAACGGCUACCACAUCCAAGGAAGGCAGCAGGCGCGCAAAUUACCCACUUCCAGAACGGAGAGGUAGUGACGAAAAAUAACGAGACAGUCCUCUUCGAGGUCUGUCAUCGGAAUGGGUACAAUUUAAAUCCUUUAACGAGGAUCUAUUGGAGGGCAAGUCUGGUGCCAGCAGCCGCGGUAAUUCCAGCUCCAAUAGCGUAUAUUAAAGUUGUUGCGGUUAAAACGCUCGUAGUUGGAUCUGCGGUUUUCGGAGAAUGGUCCCCCGAAAGGGCGGUCACUGUUACUCCAAGCCUAUAUAUUCAGUCCGUUCUACGGUGCUCUUAACCGAGUGCCUAGAUCGACUGGAACGUUUACUUUGAAAAAAUUAGAGUGCUCAAAGCAGGCGCAAUAGCCUGAAUAAGGUGCAUGGAAUAAUGGAAUAGGAUCUCGGUUCUAUUUUGUUGGUUUUCGGAAUCUGAGAUAAUGAUUAAGAGGAACAGACGGGGGCAUUCGUAUUCCGGCGCUAGAGGUGAAAUUCUUGGACCGCCGGAAGACGGACGACUGCGAAAGCAUUUGCCAAGAAUGUUUUCAUUAAUCAAGAACGAAAGUUAGAGGUUCGAAGGCGACGAAUAACCGCCCAA
rnacentral:rRNA from 1 species